AAUACUAACAUAAUAAUACUCUACUAAGUAUGGCGUAUCAGGAAUAAUGAACUCUUGCCAGGCUGAAGGAACAAAACACUUGUGGUUUCUCAAUGGCGGAGGUAUAUUAUUCCAAACCUUCGACGCGGCGUAGCUGAAACUACCACGAAAAGCUGCUGUGGCAUGGCGCGGCGUCAACAAUUGAAUCCCACAGUUACGGCGUUCGCGGAGCUUAAUACAAGAUAGCUUAUUGAAGAGAUAUGGGGGCGUUCUAUACUUCAGCACACCAAAGAGCAAACAGGCCAGAUGAAGUUUACGACGGUGUUGCAUUUUGAGGAUCAUAUGACUAUUCAGAAACGGAGUCACGUGGGCUCUCAACGGAAUAUUGAAACAGAAGCGAGCACAGGCAUUUUGAACACGUUGAAUGAGUCUCUUUGUUUUAGCAAGAAGUCUAGGCCCAAACACUACAUCCACAUAAUUUAAUUUUGAUAGGACAAGUGAUUCAACUAGUUGACAUCGCAGGUUUUCGCUUAAAUAUGGCCGAAUUUUAUAUAAAACCUUAAGCUUGUAAAAACAACUCCUAAUGGCUUCAGAGAUAUGCUUCUCAUAACGUAGUCCACAAUCCAUUAUGAGACCUAAAUUACGCGCCUCAUACACUCUCUCAACCGGUGUGUUCAUUAACAUAACAUCCGCUGAUAUACUGACACCAGCCAGUUGUUGCCUGCUGCCAAAAACAAGGUAUUUAGUUUUAUUUGGGUUAAGCAGCAGGCAGUUUUCUGUAGCCCAUGAUGCUAUAGUGGUGAGAUCAUGGUUUAAUUUUUCUAUAGCACUGUCAAUGUCGGCCGGCUUACAUGAUAUAUACACUUGUAUGUCGUCUGCAUAUAUGUGGUAUUUGCAAUGCGUGAUGUGGGACCUUAUAUCUGCGGAGUAUAAUAUGAACAGGAGCGGACCGAGCACCGAUCCCUGAGGAACUCCUCUUGUUAAUUCAGCCUUUUCAGAUAAAAGUGAAGAACCAUCACUGCAACACACUUUCACAAUUUGUGAUCGAUCACGCAAAUAACUUUCAAACCACUUCACAGUUUUUUGAUCAAAACCAUAAUAACUCAAUUUGGAUAGAAGCAAAUUUAUAUUCAGACAAUCAAAAGCCCUUGAAAAGUCGAGGAGGACUAAAAUAGUGCACAUACCUUUGUCUUGAGCAGCCAAAAUAUUAUCAGAGACAUCGAGUAAGGCAGUCACAGUGCUACGUCCCUUUCGAAAACCUGAUUGGACAUCCGGUAGAAUAUUGUUGCUUUCUAAGUAGGUGGUUAGCUGUGAGCAUACAACUUUUUCCAUUAUUUUAGAUAGACAAGGCAGUAUACUUAUAGGCCUAAGGUCUUUAAGCAUGGAUGGGUUCGAUACUUUAGGCAAGGGAUUCACGAGUGCUAACUUCCAGAUAUCUGGAAAGGUGGAUGUAAGAAUGGAGGUAUUUAUUAGGCUUGUAAUGAAAUCAAUUGUGUAUGGAAAAGUUAGAGUAAGCAUGUUUAGAUUUAUCCCGUCAAUACCCUCAGCAUUCGAUUUUAAACAUUUAAUUACUUUCAUUAUUUGAUAAGAAUUAACAGUAUCUAGGUGGAAAACAGAGUCACUGAACUUAUGAAAUUCAAAAUAGGUAAGCUGUGAUAUAGUGACACCUGAAGUUCCUGGUAGGUCUAGGAAGUGCUUGUUCAAGGUAUCGGGAUUAUUAAAUAUAUUAGGUAAUUCAUUAUUCUUUUUAGGCAACACGGUAUCUUUUAAGUUUUUCCAUAAAGUUUUGGGUUCUUUAAUAUUAUUAUUAAUAUUAUGCUUGAAAUAUGCUACCUUUUCAAAAUACAGAGCUUUAUUUACAAUAGACUUUAGGUCUUUGUAGUAAUUCUUUUUGACUUCGCUCUGGUUUUUGUGAUAAUCCGCUGCAGCACUGUCACGCAGCCUCAUCAUCAAUUUGACGGUGUCAGUAAUCCAAGGGUGUGAUUGAGCUUUAAUCAAGGAUGUCUUAAGAGGGGCAUGUAAAUCAAACAGAUUAAGAACAUGUUGAUUAAAGGCUGUUACCAUGUCAUUGACAUUUCCAAGGUUUGUUAUCAAGUCCCACCUCACGCUCCGCAAGUCCACAUCUAGAUCUUUGUCGCAGAUAUUUUUAAGAGGCCUAUAGGUAACGUGGUAAGGCUUUAGUUUCUCACGCUUGACAUUGAAAUUACAGACAACAAGGCAAUGACCAUACAGGGAACCCACAUGAUCAAUUGCUGUAGUAUUGGCCUGCAUGUCCGUACAGACAACAUCGAUCAGCGUUUGGCUGGUGUCAGUGAAAUGCGUAGGCUGAGACACUAAUUGUGUUAAACCAAAGCAAGUUAAAAAAUUAUUAAAUUGAGUAGUUUUUGUGUCGGUGCUAUUCAAUAAAUUUAUAUUAAAAUCACCUAGUAAUACUAAGUUGUCGUAACUACGCAUUGAACUAAUUGAGUCACUUACAGCAUCCAAAAACAAUUGAAGAUCCAUCCAAGGUGGACGGUAUGCCGUACCAAUUGCUAGCUUCCUUCCGUUGAGAGCAAAAGUGAUCCACAUCUGCUCCACCAGUUUAUGCAACGGGUCAACCGGAUGAGGCCAGGUCCGAGCCUUGAGAUGUCGCUUGAUAUAAAAUCCUACGCCUCCACCGCGGGAUCGGUCGCCCUGCGGCCUUGGGAUAUGCCGGAAACUGUAUCCCGGAAGUGUAGGUGCCCGCCCUUCUUCACCAGCCCUUAACCAUGAUUCAUUGAUCGCCAGCACAUCAACAUCUUGCCGAACAGCAGCCGCUAUAAAAUUGUCGUGAUUUGUGCCAAGAGAACCCGCAUUGUACAAACCAA